ensembl:lncRNA
GUGGAGCUGGUGUUAGUGGUAUUGUGGAAUAGUAUCUUUCUGUAAACUGAAAUGUAGAUGUGAAAGCAUCACUUUUCUGAUACCUCAGUCAUUUUUUCACUGCUUAGGUCCACCUUUUAUUUUCUCCAGUCAUUCCACAAAUAAUUCUUCUCUUUUUCCUGUGUGUGUGUGUAUGUGAGCAGGUCAGGCCAAAACCUCCAGUGUCUUUGUCUCCAGCUGCUGGUCAGGUUUCUGUGCACACCUUACAGUCACCGGUGUUACUGAGCACUGCCCUUCCUUCCUCUGGUCACGUCCAGCAGAUGCGAAUCCUCAAUGGCCUGCCCUGCCCCAACAGCUCUAACAACACAAGCAUCCUGAUCUCCCCAUCUACACACACGCUACUAUCUGCGCAGACACACACACAGCAGUUACCUCACAACAGCCCAAGCUCUGACAACACGAUACGCGCAGUGGAAUAUGGGACAGAGCCAAAGACUUCAUUGCUCAUCUCUCCAGACACGCCUACACACACUUCACCUCCACUGUCUUUAGAUGUGCCGUCUUCACCUGCCCCCACCAACACACACACUCCUUCCUCCAAACAUCAGGAGAGCCCUCUGGUAAAAUACACUUAUGUUUACAUCACAGUUUAUAAUGACGAUAAUGAUAAGUAUGGUGAUGUAAAUUAUGAUGAUGAUAAUGGCACUCAUUCUUUCCACAGAAACUGGCCUUCAUGUUGUCUCUGGGACUGGUCACGCGCGACUAUUUAGAAGGUCAGGAGAAAGAAAUGAGUCUGUGUGUGGGUUUGUUUGUGUGCAUGCAUGUGUAUUGACCUUUCAUGCUUUGUUUGUGUAGAGAUUCAAAGCAGGCGUCAGGAGCGCAAAAGACGAACAACAG